rnacentral:rRNA from 1 species
GACGAACGCUGGCGGCGUGCUUAACACAUGCAAGUCGAACGGAAAGGCCCUGCUUUCGUGGGGUGCUCGAGUGGCGAACGGGGGAGUAACACGUGUGUAACCUGCCCUUGACUUUGGGAUAACUUAAGGAAACUGGGGCUAAUACCGGAUAGGAUAUCCUGCAGCAUGGUGGGGGUUGGAAAGUUUCGGCGGGUGGGGAUGGACUAGCGGCUUAUCGGCUUGUUGGUUGGGUAGUGGCUUACCAAGGCUUUGACCGGUCGCCGGCCUGAGAGGGUGACCGGCCACAUUGGGACUGAGAGACGGACCAGACUCCUACGUGAGGCAGCAGUGGCGAAUAUUGCACAAUGGGCGGAAGUCUGAUGCAGCAACGCCGCGUUCGUGAUGACGGCCUGCGGGUUGUAAACCGCUUUCGCCUGUGACGAAGCGUGAGUGACGGUAAUGGGUAAAGAAGCACCGGCUAACUACGUG